UCUUUCCUUACUUUGUGGUCGCUCCACGCUUAGUAAUCUGUUUUAUGCGCUAAUCUCCUUUUUAAAUAACAUUGUUGAAAUUAUUAAUUAAACUUUGUUUCUAUUUAUAGUUAUAGAUAUUUCAGAUUGGACUCACUCGACCAGCUGUUUGGUCCAAAGUGACGUCAGUUUUUCCCGGUCUUCUAAUUGGUUGAUUGACUUCCUCAACGUUGUGACCGGAUUCAAGUCUCUCGGAAAGAACUUCAGAUGGAAUUUGGCUUCAAAUAAUCAUCAUUGCUGAUGCAGGUGUGACGUUCCCACUGGUCGGCGCACUGGCUAUGAGCGGGACACGGUGACGAGACGCACGGGUUCCCCACAUUGCAGCCCGUUUCCACCUUCACAGUUCUUGAAGGGCGGGGAAGAGGAGGAGCGUCUGGCCGGACACCCAGGCGGACACCCUGAAAAAAACCCAUGUGACCACAGAGCCCAGCACUCCUCCCACGUGCAGAUGUUUCACCUUCAAACCAUGAAUCUCAUUUUCCACGAUCACCGUUCCCUAAUGGAUGGGAAGGAUCGAGAGAGUCCAAAGUCCAGUCGCAGCGUGGCAACGUAUCGUGUCUCCCGACCACUGCGGACGUCUCUCAGCUCCAGCUGCAGGUCAUGCCAGCGACCGUCAGCUACCUGAACCUGGUCCAGCCUGAGACGUACCGGCCGCAUUGACCCUCCGGUCACAGAGAACACCAGCUGGCCAUUUAUCACCUGAUGCAAGUGUACCCUCCCUCUCUGCGGGCACACACCCCCCCAUUGAGACAGGGGUUGGAGUAGCACAAGUUGAUCUCCGUCUCGCAGUAGUCUCCAGUGAAGCCCACGGGGCAGCGGCAGCGGAGGCCGGCAAUCGGGUGUAUCGGACGAAACAGAAUUGAAGGAAUUCCUAUCCCGGAAUUGAAACUAGCGUCCCUGUCCACUCUGUGUGGGUGAACAGAACAGCAGCAUCACCUGCGAUGGAGUGACAGAACUUCGUAGCAAGUAUUGGAUUUCCGUCACUCAAGUCUCUGCUGGAGAGCUUUGGAACACUUCCCAAGAAAGGUGACCAGGUGUUAUCUUUACAAGGUGCCCAAGUAUCAGCGAAGCGCAUCAGACAAUUUUCAAGCAGAGGAGGAAAGUCUCUCUCUGGAGGUUGUUUGUAUCGCCCACAAUGUUGAAGUCCCAGCCUUCGUCCCAGUGGCAAGGAAGACGAUUCCAAGUCAAAAAAUGCGAUCUCACCAUUCCUGCACCUCUGAACACGGCAGCCUCGACAACGCAGGGCGAGAAGAAUAGCGCCCCCAAGUGGUCGGUCAGCAGAACAGUCCUCAGCUGGCCCAGAGUGAGGGUGUCUGGAGAGGGUGUGUUGGGUCUGGGGUGAAGAGCUGGACAGUUGAGCACCAAGCGACCUUGCCUCUGACAAAAAGGGCUCAAGUAAUCAGCCGCUCCGCUUGCCAGCACGGCUCUGAAGGCUGCGGGUCGGUCCACUCUCACUCGCAGGCCCUCGCCCAUCACCUCACCACCUGCCACUGGGAGAACCCCGCAUCCACGAAGAGACAGGACUCUGGACAUCACCGCUGGAGGAACCUGACGGACAAGAUGAUUCGGACCCACCUGGCCGUCUGCGUACAGCGUGUUGAGCACCGUGGUCGGCGACAGGAAGUCUCUGUUCCGGAUAUUCUUGGCGCUGCUCUCCUUGAACCAGAGCUUCUCCGGGUCCGGAAAGAUCCGCUCACCGUCCCCAUGCUGCGGCUUCGCCCGGAGCGCGGAGCUCAGCGCCUGCACUGUCGGAGUGAUCCGCAGGGGAGAGGACUCCUCCAUGUUCUGCAUCCACCACCAGCACAGGAAACCAUGGAGCUGAGAGACGUCCAGGUUCCUGAGGAGCAGAGGGCCUCGGAGCAGCUCCACCUUUGAAACUCAGUCUACUGCUCGGGGUCACUUCCUGCCAGCCUUAUAUGGAAGCUGGUCUCCCGAGUACAUCAUGGCUCUGCAGGGAGGAAGAGAUGGUGUCUGUGGUGGUGACCCUGUUAUGUUGUUUUUCUAUCUCACUGGUGGUUUAAAAACUUUGGUGUAGUUUGCGAACUACACCAGACAAACUACCACUUAAACAAACUACAUCAUGAAUUUAUUAAAUUAUAUCAAUAAUAUAAUAUUAUAUACAAUAUUAUAUAAUAAAAAAAAUUCUAUGAUAAACUACACCCAGGUUUGGUGUAGUUCAUCAUAGAAUGGGUGUGUUUUUUUUCAAUCCAGUUUUGGUGUAUGUUUCGUGUCAAUGCAACCAAAUGACCAAAGGAGGAAUUGUGAGGAGCAAAAUUAAAACUCAAUAAAACAUGGUCAGCAAUCACAGUUGUCUUGUGGCCUGUCUGCAGACUUGCACCUCCCAUCAACAAACACCAGGCUGAAGUCUGACAAGUCAAGAUUAUAACGGUUCAUUCUUUAAAAAUCCUGAAGAGGGCGACUAGAGGGUUGCACGACAUCAGAGAGCAGCAGCACCUGAAUGCAUCAUGGAUGGACCUGCGUCCGACACCCACCUGACGUGCGUGAGGCUCUUGGCGCCGAUGUCCUGGCAGGAAUGUUGCGUCCCAGCCAGCAGACCAGGAGCGGCGUCAGUGGUCGACAUCUCAACAUGGUGGGACUCGUGUCUGCUGUACCUGAAGUAUCUGGUCUGGGAGCCCAGGUUCUUGUCCAUGGCAUCCAGGGAGCCCAUGCCGCGGUACUUCUUCAGGCGGAUGCCGUCAGAAAAGAAGUACUCGCCGGGAGCUUCGCUGGUGGCGGCGAGCAGCGAGCCCAUCAUCACUGGAGCGGGAGCAGGCUUCAGCAUGUGAAGGUCAGCUGCAGGACCAUGACUGACCUGUGGAGGCUCCCAGAGCCAGAGCUUUGGCGAUGUGUCCCACCGUCUGGAUCCCUCCGUCCGCAAUGACGGGAACGCCGAAGCGCCGCGCGUACUCCGACACUUUGUACACAGCCGUGGCCUGAGGGCGGCCGCACGCCAGCACUGGAGGAGAGAGGGGAGGGUCAGAGGUCACGGUUGGAACUGCACUUGGACGAAUAAGAGGAAGUCACAUGCAUCCAGGGAGGGAGGGGCCAAGAGCAGCACGUGAGAAGGAGGAAGUGAGUGAGACGACCAAACACUUUCACACCACAUGCAUCCUGCACUGCACACACAGGAAGCAUGCUAGUGGAUCGACCGCGUUCUGGAGCCACGACCCACACAUAGGGGGCGCUGGAGACGAACAAGAUCAUGGAGCGGACUCACGGGCCUUUCUGACUGGACCCUCACACAACACCAUGAGACGGCUCACCCUGACCUCAGUGUGUUACAGACAGCCUGCUGACUGAAGGUUACAGGGGUCAAAGGUCAGUCACUACAGCAGAGCGCAGGCAGUGGUCUCCUCCACCGUCAGACUGUGUUCGUCACAACCCCACAGCAUCACGUGACGGGAGGUCAGCCCUUCUAGGCUGAUCAGCUUUUGUCAAAUGACAAACAGCAGCAGGGGGCGGAGCAUCAAGUCUGGGGGUUGGGGAGACUGCAGCAGUGAGGACACACCCCAAAACCCCCAACAUCAGCCGGCUGGCCAGAGCACAGUGACACUAGCAAGCUGCAGGGAACUUACUGGAGUAUCCCGUCACAGAUGUUGGGGUUUUGGGGCUGUGGAGCUUAAUGGCUGGAGGGACACUGAGGGGAGCUGGACUCACACAGACACAGACAGACAGACAGAGGUGAAUGUAAGGAAGAUGGUGACAGAAGGGACGGAGGAGGAGUGAGGCGUCUGCCCAGGUGACUCCAAGUUUGUGAGAGCUGUUUCCACUGAGGCGUCGCUCCAUCACCGCCAGUGUUUCCCUGAGCUCCUGUGUGUGGGGGCGUCACUCACCUUCCUGUGUGAUGCAGAUGGAGCCGCUGCCCAUCCCGACCCGGAGCCCGUCCACGCCUGCGUCGAUCAGGUUCUUGGCCUGAGCCGCUGUGACCACUGGAGGGGAGAGAGGUGGGAGGUGUUCAGUCUGAGAGAGGUGACAAAUAGGGCUGGGAUGACGCGUCGACGUCAUCAAUGACGUCGAUGCAAAACAAAUAUGUCGACGCGAAAACUGCACGUCGAUGCGUCGUCACUCAGAAUCAAAAAAUGGCGGCGGCAUCGAGUAGCAGCGGGUUGGGGGAGAAGAAAAGAUGUCGUAAUAAGAUGUCCAAGGUAUGGGAGUACUUUACACCGAAAGGUAAUGAUGCACCAGCACCUUAGAGGAGGCACCCGGGAACUGCUUGUGUGGAGAAGCCACCGUAGGUUUUCAACUUUUUUUUUCUAUCCUUGUUUGCAAUGAUUAACCCCGUCAUUCAUCCAAAGCGCACCACGUAACUUGUGCUCCUGCCUCGCACACAUGGAACACGUGACCACUUAAACACACACCUCAUUCCUCCUGAAUCAUCAAAUGUGGAACAUAAGUGGACAUGAACAGCAGUCCCUCCUCAAAACCAACAUGAAAUGUUGUCGCUAGCAACCAGCUCCCAUUAUUAGCUGUCUUUUUGAUACAAAUCACGUCUUUCUGUGAAAGCACAUCUUGAGGGCUGCACCUUCUCAGACAAGGAGAAAAUAAAUUGGGCCGCUGGAUGAACACACCACGCUAAAGUUCCUUUUUUUUUUUAUUUCUUUGUCUGUCUAUUUUUUUAAUACAUUUUCAUACACAUUCAUUGUUGUUUUCUAACUUUCUACUUUUAGGUUAAUGUAUAUUAUUAUUAUGAUACUUAAUUGACAUGGGCAGAUCAUUCAGAAGUAUAUAUUUGUAUUGAGCUAUGCACCGUGUUUGUGAUUUAUGUUUUCAGGGACAGGGAUAAGCAGAAAGGUUUGGAGGACUACUAUCCCCUGACCCCCCUGGAGGCUGCUGCGCUCACUGAGAGCAUCCUUUUGAUGAUUUCACAGAUUUAAAUGGUUAGGCUUAAGUUGCUGCUGUCACACAUUGUGUUGUUUUGUAAAUUGCAGCUGUCACUGCUGCUGUUAUUUUUUAUUUAUUUUAUGUUGAUAAGAUUGGUUCAGAUUGAGUUGUUUGCAGUUUUAUUUAUUGAAAGAAAGUUUUAUUUUAUUAGAGGAUUCCAUUGCACUGCAACUGUGUGCACUUUAUUGUUCAAUACAAUUCAUUUUUGAACUUGAUCAUAAAAAUAUGUUGGAAAGAAGGAAUUUGUGUUUUAUUCAUGCAGAUAAAUUAGCAUUAAUUACUAUAUAGGUCAAAUUAUGAGGAGAUAAUCGAUUUAAAAAUGAAUCGUUAUAUUAAUCGAUGCAUCGAAAAACUAUUUUCUCGAUUAAUCAAUUACAAAAAUAAUCGUUUAACCCAGGCCUAGUGACAAACUGUCGAGAGCUCUGUGUGUGUACACGUGUAAACAUAUAUUCUUGUGUGGACCAAUCUUUGACAAGACACUGAUCUUAUGAGGACAUUUUGGCCGGUCCACAUGGAGUUUAGAGGGUGAAAAUGUCCAUAUAACUGGCUCAUCACAAGUGGGUUUUAGCUUGGUUCAGAGUCCUGGUUCAGGUUAGCCGUGUGUGUCAGGUUCAGUCAGAGAGGCUGGAGGAAAGCAAACAGCAGUCCUCACAAAGAUAGAGAUACAGAGUGUGUGUGUGUGUGUGUGUGUGUGUGUGUGUGUGUGUGUGUGUGUGUGUGUGUGUGUGUGUGUGUGUGUGUGUGUGUGUGUGUGUGUACCGUUUCCUCCGAUGACCUGCAGGCUGGGGUACUUCUCCUUGAUGUAUUUGAUCAUGUUAAUCUGGAAUAUGGAGUUCCCCUGAGACGAGUCCUGCCGUCACAAAGGCAGUCAGUAAAGCAGCGGUGAAGCCAUGAGCCCGACCUGCCGCGCUCACCAGAACCACCACGUCCACGCCGCUCUGCACCAGCAGGUCCAGCCGGUACUUGUCGUCGUUGUGGGUGCCGAUGGCGGCGCCGCACAGCAGCUGUUUCCGGGAGUCUUUGGAGGCCAGAGGGAAGUCGCGGUUCUUCUUCAGGUCCGUGCGGGCGAUGAUGGCCACCAGGGAGCCCUCCUCGUUCACGAUCGGCAGCUUGCCUGGAGACGGGGGAGUCAUGUGACCCCAGGAGGGUGACAGAAGCGAAUGUGGAAAACCCGACGCUCACCCUUUUUACUCCGCUGAAGGAUCUCAUUGGCUUCUUUCAGCGUGACUCCCGCCGGGGCGACCACCAAGUCCUCGCGCUUGGUCAUCACCUGCAGAGAAGCACACGGUGGCUGAUCCACCUCACGUGGUCCCUGAAGUGCCUCACCUCGCUCAGCAGCAGGUCGUGGUCCUCCUCCUUCAGAAAGUCGAUGUCUCUGGAGGAGAUGAUGCCCACCAGCUUGCCGCCCAUCUUGCCAUUGUCAGUGAUGGGGAUGCCGCAGAAGCCGUGACGGGCUUUGGCUUGGAAAACGUCUCGCACGCGCUCAUUGGGACUCAUCACCACGGGGUCGGUGAUGAAGCCCUGCUCGUACCUCUGGGAGGAGAGAGGCAGUUCAGACACACGCACACACACACACGGUAACUGUACUUCUCUCAGGGAAGGUUUAGAAUAUCUUUCAAUGUGCUGUGGUGAACUUUCUUCGCUGAAAUACUCGCUCCUUUCACAACAAAUAUGGCCACCGAAUCACUCAGGCUCAUGUUCACAUGACUACCUUCACUUUGCGAACUUCAUUGGCCUGGAACUCCGGAGUACAGUUGUGGUGGAUGAAGCCGAUGCCUCCUGUGAGCUGAGAGGCGAGAAACAUGGUGAGUGUGUGUGCGCGUGAGGAGGGUCUGUGUGUGGACUUACUGCCAUGGCGAUGGCCAUGUUGGCCUCGGUGACGGUGUCCAUCGGGGACGAGACAAAGGGCGUCUUCAUUGUGAUUCGCUUGGUGAGAGCCGAGGUCAAGUCCUGGACAGGAGAGGGAGAGUUCACCAUCAGUGGUUUUCCUUCACCGGAGCAGCAGCAGAACAAUGUAGACUGCAGCUCCCUCGCCUCCACUACUGCAGUAAACAACACCGCUUGCCCUAAAAUACCAAUUCUACAGACGAUUAAAAGUAUCACUCAGUCCCAAGAUGUAUGAAGUGUCAUCAGAGUGAUGGUACACUGACCCACAUGUUUUGGUCCCGCACAAAACGGAGGAAUUUUUGGGCCCGUAUUGUCUUUGUUUUUGAUUUUUCCAUUGUUGUUCGGUGGUAUAUCUACAGAUAUGUAUUAUAAUCUGUGGUUUGUCAGCUGUAUAAACAUAUUUGCUUUUUUGGCAAUCACAC